CGGACCCCGAAGGUGCUACCCAUACCUCGACAGUGACCCCAGGUCAGGCGGGAUCACCCGCUAAGUUUAAGCAUAUCAAUAAGCGAAGGAAAAGAAACCUACAAGGAUUCUCCCAAUAACGACGAGCGAAUCGGGAAGAGCCCAACUUGAGUAUCGGACGGCCCCACCGUUCGAAUUGUAGUCUAGAGAAGCGUCCUCAGUGGCAGACCAAGCUCAAGUCCCCUAGAAAGGGGCGCCAGAGAGUGUGAGAGCCUCGUCGUGCUCGGACCCUACAGCAUCACAAGGCACUGUCAGCGAGUCGGGUUGUUUGGGAAUGCAGCCCCAAUCGGGCAGUAAAUUUCGUCCAAGGCUAAAUA
rnacentral:rRNA from 1 species